AAGAGAGGCAGCGGCUGCCGUGAAGGCUGGGAUCGGAUGGGAGAGGUCCUUCUUGGGCUCUAUUUGUUUGUUUGUGACUGGAGCUGCAAAGUUCAGAGCCAAACGUGUUGCUUUCCGGCGGCGGCGACCGCCCCGCUUCACCUGCUCCGCUGACGGGUGCCUACCCGGGGCGGCCCCGCGGCUCUGCGGGUCCUCUGCCCGGCAUCCUGCCUGCCGCUGGGGCCGACGGACGCCAGAGGAGCGGGGGCUGUGUCUCUCGCCUGCCCGCCUUCCCCUCCGCGCCUGCCGGAGGGCAACGGACAGGUAAAUACCCUGUUUGAACACAUUGUCAAAAGAAACUGCUAGAGACUUCAAAGAACUCCUAUCCUCAGAAGAGGUAGAGUGGUAUCACUGGAUCAGAGGAGGAAGAACCUUGAACCUAGUA
rnacentral:lncRNA from 1 species